CCUCUCGCACUCGUGCUCUGUCUCUCUCUCUCCUAGAGACCCCACCGAAAAGGAGAAUUGCAGGCUGAUAUCUUUGAUGAACUUGGAUGCAGAUAUUCUCAACAAGAUACUAGCAAAUUGAAUUCAACAGUACAGUAAAAGAAUUAUUCACCAUGAUCAAGUGGGAUUUAUUCCUGGGCUGUAGGG